rnacentral:rRNA from 1 species
AGAGUGAACGCUGGCGGUAGGCCUAACACAUGCAAGUCGAACGGCAGCACAGUAGGAGCUUGCUCUUACGGGUGGCGAGUGGCGGACGGGUGAGGAAUACAUCGGAAUCUACCUUUUGGUGGGGGAUAACGUAGGGAAACUUACGCUAAUACCGCAUACGCCCUUCGGGGGAAAGCCGGGGACCAGCAAUGGCCUGGCGCUGAUAGAUGAGCCGAUGUCGGAUUAGCUAGUUGGUGAGGUAAUGGCUCACCAAGGCGACGAUCCGUAGCUGGUCUGAGAGGAUGAUCAGCCACACUGGAACUGAGACACGGUCCAGACUCCUACGGGGG